AUGGGCAGCCAAAGUUUGGCUGAAGAACGGGAGAACCCCGUGGCCUAAAGUUCUUGAGAAAUGGUCGAUUGUGACACCAUUUCGCUUUCGUGCUCUUUUUGAGGGUGAAGGCAACUUUGUCAAUUCCUACAUCAAUGAAUGGUCAGUGCUGACUCAUCCAUCUGGCCAUGAACUGAUUCUGCAAGACUUUUCACUUCUUUAUCCUAACUCAGAAAAUGGCCUAUUUUUGCACUGGGACCAUUUCCUAAAUGUCACUGGUGAAAUUGCACGACUUGAUGUUAAAGAUAAGCUGGCUAAAAAGAAGCUGUUACAACUUCUUCAACAGGACUCCAAUCUUACUUUAAACGACCGGGCUAGUUUGCUGUUGUACGUACUUCCCGCUGUACGGGCUGGCCACACCACUAAAGUGGAUGGGAAGCAGAAACGCAUCACAAUCGAGCAAGCAAGAGGGAGUUUUCUUGUGUAUGCUAAGGCAGCUAGUGAUGUUAAGAACGUUGUUUCUGCUCAGAGACAGCUGCUGCUCUCCUCGAGUGGUGGUGGGCAACCACUAAUCGUUCUAGU